rnacentral:rRNA from 1 species
AGAACGAACGCUGGCGGCAUGCCUAAUACAUGCAAGUCGAACGAACACUUCGGUGUUAGUGGCGCACGGGUGCGUAACGCGUGGGAAUCUGCCCUUGGGUUCGGAAUAACAGUUGGAAACGACUGCUAAUACCGGAUGAUAUCGAAAGAUCAAAGAUUUAUCGCCCAGGGAUGAGCCCGCGUAGGAUUAGCUAGUUGGUGAGGUAAAGGCUCACCAAGGCGACGAUCCUUAGCUGGUCUGAGAGGAUGAUCAGCCACACUGGGACUGAGACACGGCCCAGACUCCUACGGGAGGCAGCAGUAGGGAAUAUUGGACAAUGGGCGAAAGCCUGAUCCAGCAAUGCCGCGUGAGUGAUGAAGGCCUUAGGGUUGUAAAGCUCUUUACCCGAGAUGAUAAUGACAGUAUCGGAGAAUAAGCCCCGGUCUAAACUCCGUGCCCAGCAGCCGC